CAGUCGCCGCGGGAAUACGUAGGGUGCGAGCGUUAAUCGGAAUUACUGGGCGUAAAGCGUGCGCAGGCGGUUCGUUAAGACAGAUGUGAAAUCCCCGGGCUUAACCUGGGAACUGCAUUUGUGACUGGCGAGCUAGAGUAUGGCAGAGGGGGGUAGAAUUCCACGUGUAGCAGUGAAAUGCGUAGAGAUGUGGAGGAAUACCGAAGGCGAAGGCAGCCCCCUGGGCCAAUACUGACGCUCAUGCACGAAAGCGUGGGGAGCAAACAGGAUUAGAUACCCCUGUAGUCCCUGUCUCUUAUAC
rnacentral:rRNA from 1 species